rnacentral:lncRNA from 1 species
UACUGUAUAAUAUCUGAAAUAAAUGCGGAAACUAGCCAUAAGGUUCAACACAUCUAUGAAUACUCAUAAUACAAAAAACUGAAUACUAAUACAUCCAUCUGAAAAGCCUUUAAACUGUCUGAACUGUGGAGUUGAUGGGACAGGUCCCUAACUAACUCCGUCAACUGAAAGUAAACAAAGUCUGAAGCAAUAAUAGUAAAUUGAGAUUCGUCCUCGAAAGAAGAGAACCCACUGCUACUGCUGCUGACUGGGACUGAACUGCUGAGGAUACUCUGGAUUCUGUGCCUCUGAACCUAUGGUGUAAAAUAAAAUACCAUAGCGCAAAUUCGUCAGUACAGGAAUGUACCGAGUAUGUAGACAAGGUAGGCUAAUGCAAGGGCUCAUGCAUGCACAAUAUCUAAAUUGAAUAAUCAUGAAGAUGCCGUAUGACAACACAUACAUGAAUGUACAGAACAUGAACACAAUCAUCGUAACUCUAGAUACUGAAAUUCGGAUACCAUUUUACUGCAGACUGAACUCACUACUGACAUUGAGAUACUGAAUCACUAACUCAUCUGAUACUGAUAACUGAAAGUCUGGAUGUACUUACAUCAAGAAUUGAAUUCUGAGCUUACUGCUUUCGACUGACAAGAUUAGAGAUCAACUUUUCUAACAGAUUAUUUCAGAAGCGAUUAUCAAAGAUAAGAAGUAUGAUUAUAUCUGAAUCUGACAACAAGAAUACUCAAUAGAAAUCUGAUACAGUGAUCAAGCCUAUCUGGCGGCAUAUCUCUGAAUAUGAUAUCAAAUAACUGUAUAUGAGACCAAGCCUAUCUAACGGGAUGGUCCAUGAAUCAAUAAAACUAUCUGAGUUUCUCAUAAAGAUAGAUGACUGUAUCUGACAAUCCUGAUUUCUGAAGAUUGAUAUUAAAAUUGAAAUUGAAUCUCAAACUGAAACUGUAACUGUGAAAAGUAGCUACUUAACCGACAUGGCCCAACCUACCACAGGUGGGGUCCAACCUGUAACCCCAGCUGGAAAGGUGUCAAUACUGUGCCAUGGGUAAAGAACUCUCUCUGGUCAAUCCUCUCUGACGGAUGACCCUUACCAGAAAGUCGACCUAAGGCAAUAUAAUAGCUAAAUACUCUCUCUCUUUCUAGAGGUGACAGCCUUUCCUAACGGUGACCCCUGUAUCCUACGCUGGCUAUACAGUUUUGGAGGUCAGUGAUUGCUACUAAUGACUCCGGCCUCUCUCGCUGAUGGGAAGAACCGUCAUCCCUUUUGUCUCUCGGUGCUAGUUUCUACUCCUAAUUGAAAGACUCUGAACUAAAUUCUCAACUGAACACAACUGAACUGAAUAUGAUACUGAUCAUAUUUCUCAAAAGAUCUGACUGAGUUACGCUGAAAUCACUUAGUUCCGUAUCUGACAAAAAUGGUAUUGAAUCAUGGUAUCUGACUGAUGAUACAGAGCUUGAAUAGAUUACUCGAAUCGCUUCUGAUAUUAGAAUUGAAUCACUUGAAUACUAUUAGAUCUGAGCUAAUUACAGGAUUGAGGCUAUAUUACUAACGAUAUAGAGAUUACAGAGAUAACUGAGAUCACUGAGCUUUCUUAAGUUCUGCACUUAUCUGAGGAUACAGAGUUCUAUAGUUCACUGAGGUUUGAGAAUCAUGGCUCGACUGAAAUUAUCGAGAAACUGACAUGGGCUCUAGAUAACAGCUCUAUUAUCGGGUAUAAAUACCCCCAGGACUCGAUAGCAUAAAAGUAAAGCAUAAUCAUUCUUGACUAGUCAUCAUCACAAGCAUUCGUUCAUCAUCACAAGCAUUCAUUCAUCAUCACAAUCAUUAAAGCAUUUUCACAAUCAUUAAAGCAUAUCUUCAAGUAAUUAGGAAUCAUGUCAUAUGUUCAUUCCCACAAUCAUUAAGACAUCACCUCAAGCGUUUAAGGAUCACAAACGUCUAUUCAUCAUCACAGUCGCCAAGGGGUCACUUUAAGCAUCUCGAAAUCAUAAUCAUAUAAUAACGCAGGGAAAAUAUGCUACUAGAUCGUACUCCAUUCAACUAGGUUUUACCUCAACUAUUUCAUACCUAUAUCAGUUUUGACAUGUGUUUGGAUAUCAUAUGGCUUGGGGAAACUUCAUACUAUCAUGUCAUAACUUACUUGCUAACCACUUGGCAUGUAUUAAAAACUUAGCAUAUAUCAAGAGCACAUAAUUGGGGAAUUUACUACUCUCACAUCUCCAUUUGUUCACUAAGGUCCUUCAACAAAACACUAGACAUGCACGGGUUCACACUUAUUUGGGGAUUUUCUACUACCAUGAAAUAAUUCAUUUACUUGGGCAUUUUAUCAAACACUAGGCAUGCAUAAAGUAACUCACAAUUUGGGAUUUCCUAUUCAACAUACUAUAAUGGCCCUUAUGCUUCACCUAAGCUCUUUAUCAAACCUAUGGGGGACAUGCUUCACUUAUUCAAUCAUUUCUACACCCAAAAGUAAUGAACACACCACAUAGAAAGCAACAUAAGAAAGAUUCAUCACAAAUAUCACAUGAAUUCCACCUGCUAGGGUCAAAGCUCAUGAAUCUUGUAAACAAACAUGAAUCAAAACUCAACAACACAUGUAACAUCAAUUUCAACUCACACAAAUCAUGAAAUCUCACAAACAUAAAAUCUUCAUAUUUUAAAAAGGGUUCUUGAGCUUCUUGGAUAAAAGGGACCCAAGAAUCAACAUCUACAUACCUUAAUCUUUGAAAUUGGAUGAAUUCUAAUGCUUGAGACUCUAUCCACACUUGUAAUAAAUGAUUCUCGAAGUCCACACUAUGAGGAACUUGAUUCUUUAAGAAAUCUUGAAGAAUUUAUGGAUGAUUUUGGAAGAUUAGGGUUCUUGAAUAAAAUCCUAGAUAUUUUCUCUUAAGGGAAUAGGAAGAGUAAAUGAUGAAAUUAGGGUUUGGAUGGGGUUCCUCAUAUUUAUAGAGACCUCCAAAAGAUGGAAAAAGAUCAAAAUACCCUUGCAAAAGCGUCCUUAAAUUGCUGAAAAAAUAGCUGAUGAUAUUCGUGACAAGCCGUCAAGCUGGUGAUAAGUCAUCACGAAAUGUCGUCACAAAAGAGUGAAAUUUUGAUUUUCUGGUUAAGGUUGACGACAUUGGUGAUAGGCCAUCACGGGCGUGACGACUUAUCACAAAAUGUCGUCACUGGGGGUAGAAAUCUUCCAAGGAAUGAUGACAUUGGUGAUAGGUCGUCACGCUCGUGACAGCUUAUCACGAAUGUCGUCACUCAGUUUCCCAGCCUGACAUGCUAGAGUAAAAUGGUCAUAACUCCUUUCUCCGAUAUCGUUUUUAAUGAAAUUGGUAUCCUUGGAAAGAUAAUUCAAAGAUAUUUCAUUUGAUAUAUAGUAGGUCCUCUAAUUCGAUAUAUACAAGGAGUUAUGGUCGAUUGAAGUUGACCCAAGUUUUGACGCUCACUAAAACUUGAAUGAUAGAAAAGCUUUCAACUCGUCCUUGAGUUAGGGGACCUCUAUGAUCUUAAUUCAUGCUAAAAUAGAUUCCCACACAACAUAAUUGAUUAACACACUAAAUUACAUAGGAUUCGAGGCUUUUGGAACAUCUACGCAUAUGAAUGACGGAUUCCCAUUCUAGUCCAAAAUGUGGGGUAUUACACAAAGCUUUGGCUCACCCGUUGCAUAUUGAUAGCUCAUGUAAUUGAAAAUUUGGUGAAGAUAUGAAGAAUUAUUUUGGGGAAGAAAUUAUUGGGGCAUUUAAAACAAAAAACGCAAUUGCAAGGAAAAAAAUUGUGGUAAUGUUUCAGGAAAUUUUUGAAUUUGUAUUGUAGUUCCUAUUUUCAAGCUUCCAUAAAAUCAACACAUUAAUUACUGGGGUUAAUUGUGUGAGAGAAUAAUGGUAUUUGAUUUUAUUUCCAUAAUUGUAGGCAAAACGGUUUCCUCAUACAUUGUAGUAAAGUAUAAGACACAAAGUAAUGUAUAUGUAUUUUUCUAAAGUUGAGAGAGAAAAAGUACAUUCGGGAUUCUAUGUAAUUACUUUCAUUAAGGAUGGAAUUUAUGAUGUUUAUACUUAAUUAAAUUUAUUUCAAUAAUACAUACCUUAGAGUAAUGAUCACAUAAUUUUAUAGUUCUCACCCGGAGCACUCGGUUGCCUAACAGCGUCACAAGUCUAUACCCCUCGAAGCUGUUGUGGAAAACUGUAAGUUUAGUGUGCCGCCUUUUUUCUUCUUCUUAAUAUCUGAUGAUGUUAUCAUUAUUAUUGGUAAACCCUACCUACAUAAAUUCAUUCUUUUAUUGACCAUAUAAGUAAAAUAAAUUAGGAAUUCGACUCAAAUUAUUAAUUAUCUAAAAUAUUUGAACUUUUCAAUACAUCCUCAAAAUUUAUUCGCAACCUCAUAGAAAUAAAUUACAUAUAUAAAUUAACUAAAAAGGUACAUUUUGAACCUAUUAAGAAUAUUAAAAUACUAAAUCGAGGUCAUCUUGAUCAAAAAUUGACCAUGAUCGAACUUAACUUUGUUAAUUCAAUAACCCAGCUAGUGACUUAAAUCACUUCCGUACACCUCAAAAAUUGAUACUACACAUCUCCGUGAGUCAUAAAUCAUGUCUACGAGCUAUGGGAAGAGCAAAAAUAAAAAGAAUCAGUAAAAUUCAAAAGAGGACUAGGAGGGUCGUUACAUUUGUAUUGAUUAUUUGCAUUUUUUCUAAAUAAUCAAAAUUUCACUGAUCGACUUCUCCCUUUGUUAAUUUGGAACCAAUGAGCAUGAAAAAUUAAUCCUUAAAGAAAGAUUUAAGGAAGAAAUCGCUGAAGAAUAGGGGAGAAAGAUAGAAUAUAAAUGGAGGAAAGGAGGAGGAAAGGGAAAGUGAAGAAGUGUUGUAAGUGGAAAUGAAAGAAAAAAAGAGGAGGUCGGCUACAAAUUGGGAGUAUUAUUGAAAUUAGGAAAAAUAUAAGAAAUAAAAGGAUGAAUAUUUUGAUCAAACUUAGAAGAAUUUUAGGCUCCUAACUUAACACUUUUUUUAAAAAAAUUUGUUUUUAGCUUUUUAAAACUGAUUUAUUAUUUUACCUAACACAUAAAAAAGCUAAAAAAAUUUUAAAAAUUCUUUAACCAAUUUGUAUUCCUAUCCAAAUAGGCUCUAAGCAGAAUCUUGUUUACAUUUAUUUUCAUUAAAUCAGUUCAAAAAUCUUAUCUGUGCAUCUCAUCUAUUACUUACUUCCAUAUAUGUACCUGCCAAGAAAUUUUUUUUUUGUAGAAAAUUUUCUUAAGUGAAGUUUUCUUUAAAUUUUUAGUAUUUGUUAAGUAAAUAAAAAAAAAGUAUGCAGAAGAAUUCAUUUAUAGAGCCUGUUUGAAUUAGCUUAAAAUAAGUAGCUUUUAAGUAACAAGCAUGAAAAACACUUUUGAUGUGAUGGAGCUUAUUAUACAUAUAAGCAAUUACGCGUUUGGAUGAAAGUGUUGAAACUGAAAAUAAGCAGUUGAUGUGUUUGGUAAAAAAUACUGAUAAGCAAUUUUUAUGUUAAAAUGACAUAAAUAUCCUUAAGUGUGAAAGUUUGUAAAACUGAUCAUUACAAAAUUUUUAAUUCAAAUUGAUUAAAAUAUAAUUUAUUUUAUAUUUCAAAUUAAUUAGAUAAAAUUAUUUUUUUUAACAAUUUCAAAUUGUUUAUUGAAAACAUUGGAUGAAAGUGGAAAAUAGCUUAAAAAAUUUGAUUUUCACUGCAAUAUAAAGUUAUGAAUUACAACAAAAAUAAAAAGAAUUCUCAUGCCAAUCUUUUUUGUCACAAGAAAAUUUAAAUCAAAAUGACAUUCACCGUAAUGGAAGAGGAACAUGCUCGGCCUCCACUCACAGACCUUUUCAAAUAAUCUGUCAUAUUUUUUUUCUAAUUAAUAUAAUCUUUGAAUAAUAAAAUUUGAAUGAAAAAUGAACUAAUCAAUUAUAAUAUUACAAAGUGCAAAUAAAAAAAAGAAAUAUAAAUCAUGAAGAGAGCAACUUGCUAUGGAGGAGCAGCAGCGGUCAUGGACGAGAGCAAGAAACGGAAGAACAAGUUGUAAUAAGAAAGGGCAUUUUAGGAGUUUCAAGAAUAUGCAAGGGAUAAUAAAAUAAAUUACUUGGUCAAACUUAAAUAAUUUUUAAGCCAAAAAUAUAAGUUGGGUUAGACCAACUUAUAGCUUUUGAUUUAUUUUAGCUUAAAAAUACUUAUUUUUAAGCACUUGUAUUAUUUGUCAAACAUCCAAAUAAGUCAAAAAAAUACUUUUAAGGUGAUUUGACCAACUUUUAAGCCAAGCCAAACACCCUCAUAAUUUAACAAAACAUUAUUAGGAAAUUAGGGGUUGGCGGGAUUUGAGAUGGUUAAGGAAUGGGGAUUGGGGUUAGAGGGGGAUGGGAUAGUCGAGAGGUGGGGAUUGCGGGUGUUGGAUUGGUAAGAAGGAAAAAUUUUGAAUGUUAUUUAUGACUCUCUACUUUCUCUACUUUAAUUUGGGAAAGUCAUUUUCUAACAUUUUAAAGGAAUUUUAUUUUUUAAGAGAAAAAUAUUUUUAAAAAUAUUUUACCCAAUUAAACAUGAAAAGAAUUAGAAAAUAUUUUCGUUCCUACCUGAACACCCUGUCAUAUUUGUCUUUUUCACCUCUUUUAGUAAUACAUUAAAAGAUAAUUUAAAUAAAUUAUUCAUAUUUAUUUUUUAAUCGCAAUUCAAUAUUACUUUUUUCACCAGAAAGGUUAAUUGCGAGAAAACAAAACUAACUCUAGAUUUAAUAAAAUUUAUGCACUUCCUUCGUCCACUUUUAAUUAUUUCUUCAAUUUAAAUUUUACAUACAAUUUAAACUAUACGCAUCCUUUAAGAAUAAUUAUGAGAGUCUGUUCAAAGUUUAGGCUUGGAUCAUGAGCUCGUGAGUACUUGGAGAUUGUCCGGGAUAGUAGGUGGUGACCGUCCGUACUUGCACGUGGAGAUCGUCAAUGAGGUACAUAGAGAAUAUGGUUGUGCCCCGUGGGUCACGUCCGAGUCUCCCCCAUAUGGAAUUGGUGCGUGUGCCGGGUUAUGUGCAUAUAUAUGGCAUUUACAUGACAUUAUAUUUGCAUCAUACUUAAUAGAGAAAAGACGUCUUUUCCCUCUGAACUUGUUCUCCAAACUCACUUUAGCACUUAAACUUAACUUCCGUUUAUUUACCCCCCUUAACAACUUUUAAGUGAAUUAAAUUCACCCAUAAAGCUGACAUGGCGAAAAAAAUAAAAAGAGCGAGUGAUUUUUUUUUAAAAGAGCCCAUUUAUAUAUAUAUAUAUAUCAACUACGAACAAAAUCAACUUGAUACUAAGAAAUAGCAAACGGACAGAUUAGAUUCUCGCAUAACCCGACCUUGUUUCACCCACUCCCGUCGAAUAUCACCGGAAUCAGACCACAAACAGUCAAUUCCAGUUGAUGUGGGGCUGUUUUUGUAAAUUUCGUCGAACUUGGUCGGAGAACGAACUGAAAUGAGGUCGCUGCUAACGGAUUUCGAUCGAUUAUGCCUAUCUCUAACUGGUGUAGUCAAUUUUCGAUCUGCGUGAUGAAAUUCGAAAAGGAUUUGCUCAUCGAAAAACCCAACGCAACCCGUCUCUCUCUCUCUCUCUCGUUUCUCACUGUUUCUUCUCUCUCCCCCCUCCGAUUCUCCUUUCUCGUCUCACUGUUUCUUCUCUCUUUCUCCCUCCAAUUCUCCUCUCUCUUGUCUCACUGUUUCUUCUCUCUCUCCCUUUGAUUUUUCUCUCGCUUAAUCUCUUUUCUCCGAUUUUAUGUGUGCGGCGUGUGUGCGAUGUGCGUCACCAGAGAGAAAAAAAAGAAAAAAAGAAGAAGAAGGGGGUGGGGUUUGUGAAAAAAAAGAAAGAAGGGGGGUGGGUAGGGGUGAGGGCUGUGAAGAAGAAGAACGAAGGGGGUGGGGUCAUUUUUAUUUAUAUAAAAUAUAUAUUUUUAUAAAAAAAAUAUAUAUAUAAAAAAUAUACUCUUAUAAAAUUUAAAAAUAUGUAUAAGAGUAUAUCAUAUAUAUAUAUAUAUAUAUAUAUAUAUUAGAAGAAUAUAUAAAAAGUAAGUGUGUGGGAUUAUUUUUUUUUGAAAAAAUUAUAAUUAUUACGUGGCAGUGAUAUGGUACUGAUGUGGCAGUGAUUUGGCAAUGGCGUGACGCGUGUGUAGUGCACUCUCCGUGUGAGAGUGGGAUUUUAAUUUUGAAGGUGAAUUUAAUUCACUUGAAAGUUGUUAAGGGGUGUAAAUAAACGAAAGUUAAGGUUAAAUGCUAAAGUGAGUUUGGAGGACAAGUUCAGGGGUAAGAGGGAGGCUUUGGAUUUUUCAGUUGUAGAUCUCCAAUAAAUUAUGUGGCGCUUUCAUAAUUUUUUUUCGUGUUUUUGGUCAAACAUUUGAUCGGUUUGUUCCUUAUCUGGUUCCUGCCAGUGGCUUGGAAGCAAGCUACCCGCGCUAUAUAGAGGGAGAAGAGCAGCAGGAUUGAAAAAGUGAAGACGACUCGAAGAGGGAGAGGCCGAAGGGGGAAAUGGGGAUGCACCUAUAACCUAUAAAUAGAAGGGCUUCCUUAAUUGCAAUUUAUCACUCAAGAGAAAAAAAUAAAAAUCACUCUCUCUAUUCUCUCUACUCUUCUUAUUGUUAUCAGCAAGAGACUCUAUCGUCUCAAAUUUGAAGGCUAAGGCUAAGAUAUGGAUAAUUUUCAAGAAGAUAUUUAUUUGAUUGAUUCUGGCACUACACAUAUGAUAUUCAAAGAUAAGAAAUAUUUUUCUCAUCUAAACAUGGGUAAGAUUAAUGUUACUACAAUUUCUGGUAGUGCUAAUUUGAUUGAAGACUUCGGAAAAGCCAUUAUAAUCUUGCCCAAUAGAACUAAACUCAUCAUAAAUAAUGUUAUGUUCUCUCCCAAGUCUCGGAGAAACUUGAUGAGUUUUAAAGAUAUCCAUGAAAAUGGUUAUCAUAUCAAGACAUUUGAUGAGAUGAAUCUUGAAUAUCUUGGUAUCACCAAGAAUAUCUCUGGCAAGACAUAUGUUGUUGAAAAGUUCCCUGCUUUAUCUUCUGGCCUGUAUUGGACAAAGGUUUGUGCAAUUGAGGCACAUUCUAUAGUAAACCAAAAGUUUACUGAUUCCAAUACUUUCGUACUUUGGCAUGAUCGUCUAGGACAUCCAGGAUCAAUAAUGAUGAGACGAAUAAUAGAAAAUUCAAAUGAGCAUCCAUUAAAGAACUUGAAGGUUCUUUUGAAUGGUGAAUUUUCAUUUAAUGCUUGUUAUCAAGGCAAGCUGAUUGUGAGACCAUCGCCAACAAAAGUUGAGAUUUAGUCCCCCACGUUCUUGGAACGCAUACAUGGGGACAUUUGUGGACCAAUUCACCCACCAAGUGGGUCGUUUAGAUGGUUUCAUGGGUGCCUUUUGUCAUCUCCAACUUGGAAUUUGCAAAAUUAUUGGCACAAAUAAUACGAUUACGGGCAUAAUUUCCUGAUAAUUAAAUUAAGUCUAUUCGCCAUGAUAAUGCUGCAGAAUUUUCAUCCCAAGCAUUUAAUGACUAUUGCUUAUAGAUUGAGAUAAGAGUGGAACAUCCUGUACCCCAUGUUCACACUCAAAAUGACCUUACUGAGUCAUUAAUUAAGUGGCUUUGGUUGAUAGCAAGACCAUUACUGAUGAAAACUAAGUUGUCCAUUUCUGUUUAUGGUCAUGCAAUUUUGCAUGCUACAAUACUUGUUCGUCUUAGACCAAUAAAUUAUCAUAAAUUUUCUCCGUUGCAAUUGAUUUUGGGUCAAGAGCCUAAUAUAUCUCACUUGAGAACUUUUGGGUGCAGUGUAUAUGUGCCUAUAGCACCACCAAACCGCACCAAGAUGGGCCCCAAAGAAGGUUAGGAAUUUAUGUUAGGUUUGAAUCACCCAUUAUUAUUCGCUAUCUUGAACCAUUAAUGGGAGAUAUGUUCACUUCUCGAUUUGCAGAUUAUCAGUUUGAUGAGAUACUUUUCCCAAAAUUAGGGGGAGAAGAUAGUGAUAUCAAAAGAGAAAUUUUAUUGAAAAAUCCAUCACUAUCUCUUGAUCCACGUGCUUCUAUUUGUGAGCAAAAAGUACAAAAGAUUAUUCAUCUGUAGAGAAUUGCAAAUCAAAUGCCGGAUGCAUUUAUAGAUUUAAAAAGAUCACUAAAUCACAUAUUCCUGCAGAGAAUGUCCCAAUUCGAAUUGAUGUCCCUAAAGGACCAUCCACUAGUGUCAUAGUUAAUGAAUCUAAAGCACGCUUGAAUCAUGGCAGUCCAUUAGGUUCUAAGGAUCGAAAUCCUAGAAAAAGAAAAACAAAUAGUCAAGAUGACACUACGAAAGAUCCAUAUAUGGAAGAUCAAGAUUUGAGCAAUGUUGAUAUCCCUGAAGGAAUCAAUAAGCCUGAGACUCAAGAAAAUGAGGAACUAUCCAUAAAUUCAAGUGAUACUAAAUCUAAUUUGAAUCGAUCUGAAAUAGUAGUGGAUUAUGUCUUUGCAUAUAAUGUUGCAACGAAAAUCAUGCAAGAUAGUGAGGAUCUUGAACCUCGAUCUGUCACAAAAUGUCGACAAAGAAAUGACUGGCCAAAAUGGCAAGAAGCAAUUCAAUUUGAAUUGAAUUCACUUGCCAAAUGUGAAGUUUUUGGACAUAUAACUCAAACAACUAAUGGUGUUAAGCCUGUUGGAUAUAAAUGGGUCUUUGUGCGAAAAAGAAAUGAGAAAAAUAAAAUACAAAGGUAGAAAACACGCUUUGUUGCACAAGGAUUUUCAGAACGGCCUGGUGUCGAUUAUGAUGAGACAUAUUCACCAGUUAUGGAUGCAAUAACAUUGUGUUAUCUUGUUAGUUUCACUAUUCAUGAGAGACUUGAAAUGCAUUUGAUGGAUGUGGUAACAGCCUAUCUAUAUGGAUCACUUGAUAAUGAGAUAUACAUGAAAAUUCUCAAAGGAUUUAAAAUGCUGAAAGCUUAUAGUUCAAAGUCUCGGGAAAUGUAUUCCAUUAGAUUGCAAAGAUCAUUGUAUGGUUUGAAGCAAUCUGGACGCAUGUGGUAUAACCGUCUUAGUGAAUAUUAAUCUAAAGAAGGUUAUACGAAUGAUGAAAUUUGCCCAUGUAUUUUCAUAAAAAAAAACGUCGGAGUUUGUUAUACUUGCUGUCUAUUUCGUUGACAUAAACUUUAUUGGAACGCCAAUAGAGCUUCAAAAGGAAAUUGAUUACCUAAAGAAAUAAUUUGAGAUGAAAGAUCUCGAAAAUACAAAGUUAUGUGAUUACCUAAAGAAAUAAUUUGAGAUGAAAGAUCUCGGAAAUACAAAGUUAUGUCUUGAUUUGCAAAUUGAGCAUUUGACAAAUGACAUCUUUGUUCAUCAAUCUGCCUACACAGAAAAGGUGUUGAAACGAUUCUAUAUGGAUGGAGCACAUCCAUUAAGUACUCCAAUGGUUGUUUGAUCACUUGAUGUGAAUAAGGAUCCAUUUCGACCGCAAGAAAAGAAUGAGGAACUCCUUGGUCCUGAAAUAUCAUAUCUUAGUGCAAUUGGUGCACUAAUGUAUCUUACAAUUACUACAAGGCCUGAUAUUGCCUUUUCAGUAAAUUUGCUAGCAAGGUAUAGUUUUGCUCCUACUAGGAGACAUUGGAAUGGGAUCAAACACAUAUUACGGUAUCUAAAGAGAACUAUCGAUAUGGACUUAUUUUAUUCUAAAGAUUGUAGUUCCGAUCUUGUUGGUUGUGCUGAUGCUGGGUACUUAUCCGACCCGCAUAAAGAUCGGUCUCAACCAGGAUUUGUAUUCAUAUGUGGGGGUACUGCUAUAUAUUGGAGAUCAACAAAGCAGUUUAUCGUAGCCACUUCAUCGAAUCACGCUGAGAUUAUAGCUAUUCAUGAAGCAAGCUGAGAGUGUGUGUGGUUGAGGUACAUAAUACAUCUCAUUCGAGAAAAAUAUGGCUUGAAAUAUGACAAAGUAUCCAUGAUUUUAUAUGAAGAUAAUGCAGCAUGUAUAGCAUAACUUAAAGGAGGAUUCAUAAAAGGAGAUAGAACAAAGCACAUUUCGCCAAAGCUCUUCUAUACACAUGAGCUCCAAAAGAAUGGGGAUAUUGACGUACAUCAGAUUCGUUCAAGUGACAAUGUGGCUGACUUAUUCACUAAGUUUCUUCUAACUGCAACUUUUAAGAAGAUGGUGCACAAGAUCGGAAUGCAAAGGUUCAAGAAAGUUCUUAUUAGAGGGAGCUAAUACGCGUUGUACUAUUUUUUCCUUACGAGAUUUAAUCACACUAAGUUUUUCUUGUAAGGUUUUUAAUGAUGCAGCCUAUAUGCGUAUUAUUAGACAUUCAAGGGGGAGUGUUAUGAUAUAUAUCAAUUAUAGUGAAUGUCUAUCAAGAUCUAUUUGAUGUCUAUCAGGAUUUGAUGUAUUUGUCUUUUAGUGUGAAACUAGGNNNNNNNNNNNNNNNNNNNNNNNNNNNNNNNNNNNNNNNNNNNNNNNNNNNNNNNNNNNNNNNNNNNNNNNNNNNNNNNNNNNNNNNNNNNNNNNNNNNNNNNNNNNNNNNNNNNNNNNNNNNNNNNNNNNNNNNNNNNNNNNNNNNNNNNNNNNNNNNNNNNNNNNNNNNNNNNNNNNNNNNNNNNNNNNNNNNNNNNNNNNNNNNNNNNNNNNNNNNNNNNNNUAUAUAUAUUUUCCUUUUUUAAAAAAAAUAUAUAAAAAGUAAGUGUGUGGGAUUUUUUUUUUAAAUUAUAAUUUCUUAUGUGGCAAUGACAUAGCACUGAUUUGGCAAUGACGUGACACGUGUGUAGUGCACUCUCCGUGUGAGAGUGGGAUUUUGAUUUUGAGAGUGAAUUUAAUUCACUUGAAAGUUGUUAAGUGGGUAAAUAAAUGAAAAUUAAGUUUAAGUGCUAAAGUGAGUUUGGAGGACAAGUUUAGGAGGGAAAAGAUGUCUUUUCUCUACUUAAUAUUAUCUAAAUCAUUUUGUAUAAAUAACCAUGCUGUGUUACUUAUUGUUCUUUUCAUUCACAAAGAAGUAUACUUAUAUAGAGUGAAGAGUUUUGGGCGCAUCAAAACUUGAUGAUCAGAACCGGAGGUAACUUUUAACGAAAUAAUAUAGCCGAAGCUGCAAAUUUGAUAAGCAAAAUGACAUUGAGUUUAUUCAAAUUAAAGGUACAAAUAUUUCAUUCGACAUUGUCCUGAUCUAGAAAGAACUAGAACAAUUAGUCGUUUUACUUUAUUUUAUGAAAGAAGCAACAAAAUUUCUUUACUUGGAGCAAAGAAAGGUAUUUGCAGUAGAAUUGUAGAGGCAUUUAGGACAACAACCAGAACAGGGCUUGCACCUACAGUCUUGACCGCAACUGCAAGUAUAAGGUGAGGGACGAGGUGCAACUGCUUUUGAUACGAGUUCUGUCUUAGUCUCAGCAACUAUUUUCACUCUUGGAGACUCAGCAAAUAAACUAUAAUCCAUCAAAAGAAUUAUGUGUCAAAAUCAAUAUGUUACAUCAUUGUUAUUCUAAUAUGUAAAACCAAGAUGACAAAUAUGCACACAAAUAUAUUUUGUAUUUGACGUAAGUAAUAAAACCCAACAUAUAUAGAGGCAUACUUCCUCUAAUUCAUUACAAGUGAAUUGUUGAGACUUUUUCAUGAUUCAAAAUAAGAGAUAAUAUCUCAACGAGACAUGUUUAUGCUUCCUUUUAAGAUGGUUCUUAACUAUUUUACAUUUUCUAGGAGAAUAGUUUAGGAAUAAUUAAAAGAAUAAUAGUGUAAAACAACAUUUGAUUUAUCAUUUAUGUCCCCAGCCUAUAAAUGUUCUGCUUAAGGUAAGCUUGUCAAACGGGCCAGAUUGACCCGCCUGAACCGGCCCGUUUAAGAAAAUCGAGCCAGCUUGACCCGGCCCGAUCAGCCUAUGAUUUGUAGGGUACCGGGUACCGGGCCGGUUUAUUUUUUUGAUUGGGCCCGGUUAGCCUGGCUCGAACCAAGCCCGGUUCGGGCCCGCCGGUUAACCGGCCCGAAUUCAUUUUUUUUUAAAAGUGGGCUUUGGUCCGUUUGGCCCAAACUAACCGUUGGCCCAACGACUAUAUAGCCGUUUUUGGGUCUAAACUGCUAGUUUGACAUUUAUUAUUAAAUUUUUUUUUUUACUUUUAAAAUUAUUUUUUAACCCUAAAAAAAUUCCUAUAAAUACCCUAUACUUUCAAAUCAUUUUCCACAUAAUUUUUCAUUCUCUCAAUUCUCAUUCUCUCUCAAAUCUCAAUUCUCAAACAUUCUACAUAUUUAAUUUCCUAAAGUGCUCACCUUAAUUUUUUAAUUUGGCGAUUACAAAGUACGAGUGGAAGUUUCUAAAGUCGCAAUCUUCGAAUACUUCCAAAAUUUGGUAUUGUCGUUCAUCUCUUACGUUUAAUUUUUAUUUAGUGUGUUAAUUGUUGAAUAUUUAAUUUUAUUAUAUUUGUGUAUUUUGAAUUUUUUUAGUUUAAUUUAUAUUAUGGAUAAAUUAAGAAACUUCGCUACUAAAGGUGUUAAAAUUUUUUGUCCCGCAAGUGGUAGUUGUAGUAAAAAGCGAAUUACUAGCGGUAGAGGUACUUCAAGUACUAGAUAUACCCGUGUGCCUCCGGUACCGCUUAGUCAAUCUUUUGAGGACGAAGUAGGCGUACCUUUAGGUGUAGGUGCCCACGAUAUGGAUUAUGUAGAAGCUCAGGAAAAUUCCAGUAUAGAAGAAGAAAAUAAAGUAGAUGCGGUUAAUUUAGACGAAGAUGAUGAAAAUAUUGGUGAGACACCUGCAGUAGGAAAUGCUAACGUUAGAUCUGAAUCGGUUAAUCUCCCUCCCCAUCCUCCCCGUGCCCCAAGAGCUCGUAAAACAACUAGUAUUGCAUGACAAUUUUUUGAACGUAUAUCAGAUACUGAGGUGCAAUGCAAUAUUUGUCAACGAAUAUAUAAGCAUAAAAAUAGAGGCAAGCAAGGGGGUACGGGUACGUUAAUGAAACAUGUAGGUGAUGCUCACGAAAGAGAGUUACAUAUUGCACGAGGUGGUGCGGAUAUUGGUGGGCCAACACAAACUAGAAUGGACCCAGCAACCGGUCAGGUAAUGAAGAAGUAUAAUAAAAUGCAGGACCGGAAAGAAAUAACUAAAAUGGUAGCUGUGAGUUGUUUGCCUUUUAGUUGUCCUUCUUCUGAUGCCUUUAUUCAUUAUAUUCAAGCAAUUUAUAAUCCUAUGUUUAAUGGUAUUCCUAGAAGUACUUGUCGGACGAAUAUUUUUAGACUCUAUUCACAAUAUUAUUUUUAUUUAUCAACAUUGUUAAAAAAUAUUCAAUGUAGAAUGUCCCUAACUUCUGAUCUUGGGCGUGCUGUAAAUAAAAAUGAUUAUUUAAUUAUUACUUGUCUCUGGAUAGAUAGUAGUUUUAUUAUUCAAAAACGUAUUCUUACUUUUUUAUAUGAUGAAGAUCGUAAACAUACUGGAGAUUUUAUUAUUGAUUCGAUUGCUAAAGUUGCAGAAUUUUAUAGUAUUGAAAAUAAAAUCUUAUGUAUUGCUUUUGAUAAUGCUUCUAACAACAAGACUGCUAUAACAAAAUUAGGGCCCGUUUGGCCAUGAAAUUUUUUUCUUUUUCCGGAGAAUUUUUUUGGAGUUGGAAAUUAUGGUGUUUGGCCAUGAAAAUUUAGAAAAUAAUUCUAGAAAAUUUUUCUAAAAAGGAAAAACAAGUUUUUGUUAUUUUCCAAUUUUUCAACUCCAAUUCCAACUUUUAUUAUUAUUACAUAUAACCCAAUCUUUUAAAUUUUUACAUAAAACUCUCCUUAUAACAUUACUUUUUCAAUAUUACGUAUAUAGCAGUUUUAAAGAAUAAGAUAAUUAUAAUUUCAAAUUUAAUGCUAUCCUAAUUAAUAUAUAUCUCUUUUUCUCUAUCAUCAUUAUUUUUCUCCUUUAUUUAAUUUUCUCUCUUAUAUAAGACAUUAUUUUACUGCUAAUGAUCCUAAUUACUAUAAUAUAAUAAUACUAAUAAUUAUUAUUAUUAUUAUUAUUUUUCUGUUGUGAUACGUACGUUUAAGGAAUUAUAGUUGUGUAAUUAAUAAUGGAUAAUCGUUUUCUAUAUUUAUGGAAUUAAUAAAGUUGUAGCAGAUUAGUUUACCACUGCCACAAAUUAUUCUAAUUUUUAAUUUGAUUAUAUAUAUUAUAUUGUGUACAUCUUUAUUAUACUAUUCAAAUAUAUACAGUUUAUAUCAUAUAUAUGUUAAAAAUAUAAAUCGGUGAUACAUGUCCAAUUUAACAAAUUUAUACCUUAAACUACAACUGCUAUCUUUAUAUACCAUAAUACUUGAUAUCUUUAUACACAAAACAUUAUAUUUAUACCCAUAAAUAUAUAAAGUAUUAUAUUUAUAACAGAAAUAUACAAAGUAUAUUAUAUAUAAAGUUUAUACUAUGUAUAUAUCAUAUACACACAUAUAUAAAUAUAUAAAUUAUUAAGAAACAUACUAAGAAUAUUUAUAACAUAAAUAUACAAAUUAUAUUAUAUAUGAAGUUUAUACCAUGUAUAUAUCAUAUACACACAUAUAUAAAUAUACAAAGUAUAAAGAAACAUACUAAGCAUAUUUAUAUAUUUAUGGUAUAUGAUAUAAUAUACCAUAAAUAUGUAAAGUAUGUUUUACAUAGAAAUAAUUUAUUCACACACAGUAAAAUCUUUCAUGUAUAAGAAAAUUAAAGAAAUAAAUUAGCAGCACCCCAAAAUUUAAUAACAACUUAUCAUGUCAUAUUUUUUAGGAACGAAAAAUAAAGGAAAUAAAUUAGAUAAAUUCCUAAGAAAAUAAAUUUGUUUGAAAGAUAAUAUUUGUUACCUAAAAAAUAGGAAAUAGUGAUCUAUUAAUAUAACAUCCAUAUUUAAAAUUUUUAAAUAUGAGAAACGGCUAUUAAUGUAAAUAUUAUAUAUGUCAUAAUUGAAAUUCAGUAAAUAUGUCCUUGUAGAUGUAAUUAUUUUUAUAAAAGUGGCUAAUUGUGUUCUUUUUCCAUUAGUAGGUAAAUUUUAGUUGGGUGAUUUUGAUAGUUUGUAAAAGUUGGGGCAUACAAUCAUAUUUAAAAAAGUUUUUUCAAAAGUCAAGAAAAAAAAUUCAGAAAAAACAUGGCCAAACACAACUCCAACUCCAAUUUCAACUCCAACUCCGAAAAUUUUUAGUUUUCAUGGCCAAACGGCUACUUAAAAUGUAAGCUAUCUCCGUCGUUACCUGAAAUUUUUCAUAUUAAGUGUGCAUGUCAUAUAUAUAAUUUAAUUGUAAAAGAUAGUCUUGAGUUUUUUGAGCUUUAUAUUGAAAAAAUCCGUCUUGCUGUUAGUUUUAUUCAAGGAAAUAAUCAAAGAAAAAAAAUUAGAGAAUUUAAAGUUAAAUAUCAAGAAAAUGCACUUGCACCGAUAUUGAUGCCUGAGGAAAUUGAUAGUAGAUGGAAUUCUACGUAUGAUUUUUUAAAAACUUGUUAUAAAUAUAGAGUUCCUAUUACACUAGCUUUUAACUAAUAUUGUGGUUCAUUUGCUGAUUCUGCUGAUUGUAUGCUACAUGAUUCUGAUUGGGUUGUAAUUAAUGAUCUUGUUAAGUUUUUAAAAAAAUUUUAUGUAGCUACGGUUAAAUUUCUCGGUGCUUAUUAUCCUACUUUUUUCCUACUGUUUGUAAUAUUUUGGCAUAUAUAGCCGAUAUUUCUGCUUUACUCAAAGAAUAUAAAAAUAAAGAAGGUUAAAAAGAUGUUGUUGGUCCCAUGUUUGCUAAAUUUUAAAAACUAUUUUUUUUCGAUUCCUCCUAUUUACUUGGUUGGUGCUAUGCUUAAUCCGUGCAUGAAAUAUAAUACUAUGUCCCACUUUAGUACUAUUAUUUAUGUUAAUUUAGAAAUAAGUACUAACGAUGAUUCUCAACAAGUACAACCUGAUUUGUGGACGACUAUGGGUGAUGCGAAUGAAUACAUAGAUAAAUUAUAUAAUCACUAUGCUGAUUUAGUUGAUUUAGCCGUACCUACAAAUAUCACUCCAACUGUCGCUCCUCAUUCUCCCGAGGAGCCAUCAUCUUUUAAAAGGCCGGCACAUAGUGAUUUUCUUGAUAACUUUUAUGAUUUAAAUUGUUGGAACAAUGUCGAGAAGGGAGCUUACACAUCAACUUAUCGGGAAGAGUUUAAGUAUUAUCUUCGAUCGCCGCUAGAGGAUCGCAGACGACGGAUCAACGCGUUGGAUUGUUGGAGGAGUAAUUAAACACAAUAUCCUGUUCUUUCAAGAUUAGCUAGAUAUAUCUUGAAUGUUCCAAUGUCAACCAUUGCAUCGGAGGACGCUUUUAGUCAAGGACAACAACAACUUGGAGACAACCGACAUUCAUUGGGAAGCAAUGCAAUGAAUGUUCUCGUUUUCCUCAAAGAUUGGAUUAGAGCCGAACGAAGAAAUCAAGGAAUGAAAGCGGAGCCGAACGACGAGCAGAGACUUGAAGAAAUUAUAACUUCACGGAAGAACUCAGCAGAAUCAAGUCCAAUGCAUGGUUUUGCCCCCGUUGACUUUGACUAUCCUAUGCAAGUUUCAGUUAAUAUUAACAUGAAUGAGUUGAAGAAAAUGAUGCGGAAUCUGUAGAUUUUUCAUUCAUGUAAAUUAUAAAAUUUGGAUCAUUUUGCAAUAAAUAAAAUUCAACAUUCAUUCAUUCCUUAGUCCUUACUUUAUAAUUUUUUCCAUUUAAUGAUUUAAAUUAAAUUUCUAGCUUAAAUUAAAAACUUAGUUUUAAUAUAUUAUUAAUUUACUAUUAAGUAUUAGACUAUUAUUAAUUUAUUAUAUUAAGUAGCAUGUGUUUUAUUUAAAAUAGUGUAUAUAUGUGUAUAUAUUUUCUAAAAUAGUAUAUAUUUAAUGUAUACAUGUGUAUAUGUUUUAUAAAUUAGUGUAUAACUAUACAUAUAGUGUGUGUAUAUAUUGUAGUAUAUAUAUAUAUUGUAGUUUUUUUUAUUUAAAGUAGUACGUAUAUAUUUAAUAGUACGUAUAUAUGUGUAUAUAUCUUUUAUUGACGUAUAUAUUUAACGUAUACAUGUGUAUAUGUUUUAUAAAUUAGUGCAUAACUAUAUAUAUAGUGUGUGUAUAUAUUGUAGUAUAUAUAUAUNNNNNNNNNNNNNNNNNNNNNNNNNNNNNNNNNNNNNNNNNNNNNNNNNGUAUACAUGUGUAUAUGUUUUAUAAAUUAUUAUAUAUAUCAUUAUAUUGUAGUAUAUAUCCUGUAGUCUAUGUUUUAUUUAGAGUAAUAUAUAUAUUUAACUAACGUAUAAUCAUAUACACAAUUACAUGUGUAGUUGUGUAUAUGUGUAUAUAUUUUUUAAAUUCUAAUGUAGUAUAUAUAGUGUAUAUAUAUUGUUUAAUAUAUUAAAAGUGUAAAGGACUUUAGAAAUAUUAUUUGAACUUUUUGUCCUUCGUUAAAAGUCUCUACUUUAGAUAAAAUUGCCCUUUCACUAUUUUCUUAAUAUUUAAUAGUUUAAAAAUUAAUUAAAUAAUUAUAGUAAAUCUUUUCGAAGUCAUAGAAUUAGUGACAAUUAAUAUCUUUUUCAUUAGUUUAAAAAUUUUAAAUCAAUUAAGAAGAUUUGAAAAAUCUUGAAAUAAAUAUGAAAGCGUUAUAAUAAAAAGAUAUAAGAAAUACCAAAUUUGUAAAAGUUUUAAGUAAGUAAUUAAAUAUUUUCUCAUGAUUUAACUUUAAAAAUAAAAAAAGAUUUUAUAUAUAGAAAAAAAAAUAAUCGUACUACAAAUAUGAUUCAAAUCGAUGUAUCUCUCUUAGCCUCUAGCAGCAAGGAAAAAACGUACUACAUGAUAAACUCAAAAGUAAUCAUCCAUUAAUUAAUCACUUGAAACUAAUUCUGUGGUGAAAUAUGUAUGUCCAUAGAAUUAAAUAUAUGUCAUAUUUAUAUUAUUAUAUUAAAAUGUGGUGGAUCUUUGAGAAAUAUUAUUAUAUUAAAAUGUGGUGGAUCUUUGAGAAGUAGAGUAUGAAGAAUCUUUAAAAUGUGAUUUGACCUUUUUGCAUUUUAUUAAAAAACUUUAUAAAAGACAAAAUUAUCUAAUUUUAAUUAAUAAGUCCAAAUUUUUACUGUCUCCCUUCCACCAUUAAUUUAUCUCAUAUGGAAUAUACAUGCCUUAGUGGUCAUUGUCACAGAUUUCUACUUUCUUAAUUAUAUACGAGCCUAGUAUAUGUUAAUUUCUUUUUAUCUUAAUUCAUGUAACACAUAAUUUAGAUAAUUAAUUAUAAAAUAUAAUUUAAAAUUUUAAUUAUGGUGAUUUAUAAUAUUUUUGUUUUUAUUUUAAUUUAAGUGAUACCGCUAUAAUUUUAAGAGUUAUUCAAAUAUUCUAUACUAUCUUUUAAAUUUUUUAAGUUGUUAAUUAUAUGAUUUAUAAUGCUUUUAACAAAAAAUUUCAAUAAGAUAUGAAUACUCUAUCCAUUCCCGUCUCAAUUUACAUGGCACAGAUAAAAUUUCAACAGCCAAUUGAAUUUUUUAAAUACUUUUUAAUAUAUAUAUAUAUAUAUAUAUAUAUAUAUAUAUAUAUAUAUAUAUUGCUCUCUUUAUCUUUGUGUUUUAAAAUACUUUAUAAUACUCUUUCUUCUAUUUCAAUUUAAGUGAGACCGAUAUAACUUCGAGAGUCAAGCAAAUAUUACGAUUGAAGUAGCGAAAAGACAUGUUUUAAAUGACUCAUAAUAACUAAUUGUAAGUGAUAAAAAAUUGCUAUAAAAAAUACUUGUGAAAAUAAUUUAAGUGGGUCUCAUAUAAGAUGUCAAGUUAAUUUACAAUAUCAAGAGUUAAUUUAUCAUUUUAUGUCUAGAUUGCCUUUUUUAUUAAAUAUUAUUAAUUUUCUAAUACUUAGAUGACUUAUAAUAAUCAAUUAAGGGUGAUAUAGUAAAAUUACGGCUGAAGCGCCGAUAUGUUUAUCCUUCAUUUUAUGGAGAUUCUUGACUACUUUAUAUUUUCUAGGAAAAUAAAUUAGAAAUAAUUAAAAAGAUAUUAGUGUAAAGCAAUAUUUAAUUUAUGUCCCGGCAUAUAAAUGUUUCGCGUAGAACGUUUGUGAUGAUCCAACAAUUGAACUAUAUAGAAAGUAUAUAUCAAAUAAAAAGAGAGGAAGCUGUAGAAAAAGAAAGCAGAAAGCUAAAAACAUUUACCCGACAUCACCAAAAGCGCAACAGUGAAAUAGAAAGAAAAAUUGCGAGCCAUCGUAACAAUAUAAGAUAAAUUAUGUGUAUUGCAGUGAGAU